UCCACCAAAGGAGGAAAUCGGAUU
rnacentral:siRNA from 1 species